UGGGGAAUUUUGGACAAUGGGGGAAACCCUGAUCCAGCCAUCCCGCGUGUGCGAUGAAGGCCUUCGGGUUGUAAAGCACUUUUGGCAGGAAAGAAACGUCAUGGGUUAAUACCCCGUGAAACUGACGGUACCUGCAGAAUAAGCACCGGCUAACUACGUGCCAGCAGCCGCGGUAAUACGUAGGGUGCAAGCGUUAAUCGGAAUUACUGGGCGUAAAGCGUGCGCAGGCGGUUCGGAAAGAAAGAUGUGAAAUCCCAGAGCUCAACUUUGGAACUGCAUUUUUAACUACCGGGCUAGAGUGUGUCAGAGGGAGGUGGAAUUCCGCGUGUAGCAGUGAAAUGCGUAGAUAUGCGGUGGAAUACCGAUGGCGAAGGCAGCCUCCUGGGAUAACACUGACGCUCAUGCACGAAAGCGUGGGGAGCAAACAGG
rnacentral:rRNA from 1 species